rnacentral:tRNA from 1 species
GGAGAGAUGGCCGAGUGGUCUAAGGCGCACGCCUGGAGAGCGUGUAGUCGCCAAAAGUGGCUCGCGGGUUCGAAUCCCGCUCUCUCCG